UUCUUCCUAAUCGGGCAUAGCCUGCCCUCUCCCCUCAUAUUUUUUGAACUUUGGCUUGUGUCCGGCCAGCAACAACCUCCUCCCUGCCACUGUUGCCUCACCGUUGUUCCUCCCCCUCCAUUUCUUUUUUCGACUGGCACAUUGAUGGAGUGUGAGCUGCCUUUGUUUUUCCGAUCAGAGCAGCUCCACCUCAGCCCCUUUUUCCUUGACUUUUCUGGCGACGCUAGCCAAAACCGACCAACCUACUUUGUCUCUAGCAUCUCACACCACUGUUCUUCCAUCUCCGGUUACUAGAGCUCGCGAUUUAGCGAGAAAAAAGAGGAACAGCAAAGCUGUGGUUCCAUUUUCUCAACUGGCACAACCUCCGCCAAUAUUUUAUUUUGAUUUUUCGAUGAGACCAGCCAAGGACGGGCCGUUUAGACUCUUCCAUCGUCUCUAACAGCUUUGCCGGCCAUGGUCCUCAUCAGUUCUGCAUGUUAACGCCGACAGAAUCGGAUUUUGAAUAUUGGAGUUGUUUUCGAUCAUUUUAACCGGAAAUAUUUAGUUUUUCCAACCUUUUUUGUCACUGGGUAAGCAAUUUCCAACCUUCUCUUGGUAAUAUAUGUUGAUUAGAGCAAAAAUCAAAGUUUGUGAAGAGAUUAUGAUUUCUAGCUACUGUUCACGCUAUUUUACUAGAGAAAUUUGAUUUUUCAUACUAAGUCUAGGUUAUAACUAAUUUAAUGAGUAAUUUAGCAUGAUUAGGAUGAUUUUAGCCUUAAAAUUGGUAUAAGAUGGAAACAACAGCAGCUAGCUAGAUUCCAAGGUACUGUUUUUAUGAAAAACUUGAGAAAACCUUGGAUCUAAUUAAGCUUAAGCACUAAUCAUAAUUUGAUGAGAAAUUGAGAAUUAUAUUUAGUUAUUUCAGAUUUUUAUUGAGAAGUUAGGAGUUUUUGUGCAAUGGCAGCAACUAUCUUUGUUAUCUUACCUGAACUAUGGGUUUGGAACGAAGUACAUGAUAUUGUGAAUGUAGUUUUCAUUGGGGAAUGAGUUAAUUGGCAUAUAUUAUAAGAGUUUUGCUCAUAAAAUGUUGAUUCCCUUAGGUUGGUAGCUCUCUUUUUGGAUAAUUGGUGUUGUCCAAGAUGAACUUAGGUAGGAAUGAUUAUAUUUUUAUUAUUUUCAUGUUAGUUAUUAUUAAACAGCUUUAUUCUUACUAGACAACUGCUUUAAUCAUAGAAUUCUUUAGUUAAGAAAAAGCUAGGAAUUGUUAAUUUAUGCCGGAAUGGAGUAAAAACUUUAUGAGCUUUAGUAGAAUCAUGCUUAGGUCUGUGAAUUCAGUUGUUUAACAGACUUUAGCUAUUAAAUUUUAAUUCAAAUAUCUAUUCAUAGUACGAGUUUAGAGUUCCGCAAUAGCAUUCUGUGUGGGCUGUAAUUAUAAAGUGAUUGAUUAUAUAUAUAUAUAUAUAUAUAUAUAUAUAUAUAGAUGAAUAAUCUAUAUAAAUAUUGGAUAGAGCCCAGAAUACUUGUGAAUUGUUACUUGAAGUAUUGGGCCUAAGGUUGUGUAUGUAAACAGAAUACUGAAUCCAGAUUGUUAGAGGAUUACUAAGGGCCAUGGAGGUUUUAAACCCAUCUAGGUCCUAGUGUUGGUACAAUCCAUAGUGACGUGUUGUGACAUGAACUAUCGUUUCUCCUAGUGACCCCUUGAACUUUGCGAGGAUUCUAUCUUGAUCUUGUAGUAACAAAUCCUUCAACCUCUCGCCACGUAAGAAAUGAAGAACGUGCAUUCAAAUGCGUUUGGGAGAGUGAAACUGAUUUUCUUUGUUAAGUGAAUGUCCCACGUGGCAUGAUUCUUAAUUAGUUUGUUUCUCCAGAAUUGAUCUCAUGAACAAUGUCUCUUUCUCUCUCUCCAAAAUCUAUCUCAUAAAGAGUGUCAUUCUUCUUCUUUUUUAAUUGUUGAGGGUGUGCUUCAUUUCUGCAUCUAUACUUGUACUAUUUAUUUAAAUUUGUUUUUAAUCGCUUAUGAUAAUCAAAUGAGUGAUGGUUUCUUUUAUGUUGUUAUUAAAUCUAGGUGUAAUUAUAUGCAAAUGCAAUCUCUUUAAGUCUUAAAAUAUAGGUUUGAUGUUAAAUUUUUUCUACAUCUACAAUUUAAUUUUCUGAGAUUUUUUAGAUUAAUUACUACAAGAUUUUUUUUCAAAAUUUCUAAAAUAAUCAAAUCUUUAUUUCUCAUAACCUUUUUCUUUAUUUGGAUGGUGAACACAAUAAUCUCCAAAACAAAGCAUUUUGGGUGGCUUAGAAGGAAAAGAAGAAGAGGAAGAGAGACGAGGGUAAUGGUUAUAUCAACACCAACAACAUCAUUAUCCUCAUCAAAAAAUUGUAGCUAAUAAAAAAUACAGUACUGGAAUCUAAAUGGUCACCAUUAUUAUCAAGCAUCAUAAAAUUCACAGUUUUGAAGAGAGAAAUUUUUGUAUGCCUUAAUAUCAAUUUCUUUAUCUGAGUUAGCGGCGAUGAUGGCGGCGGCGAAGGGGGUUAUAAAUAGAAAAAGGUAGGUGUAGAGUACAGAGCAAACGAGGGACAGUUGUUAGGGUUUGGGUUUAGUGGGAUUAUUUUCAAGAUUAGACUUCGAUUUGUGGUGUGUUUUUAAUUAGUUAAAGCCACUGGGCCACGUAGUUUCAACCAAAUAUUUUGUACAAUUGGCAUUUUUUCUUACGUGGAUUGUGGAUUAUAAUUUACGCACUGUGCAUUUCACUUCUUUUUCACUUUGUGGCAAUCGGUACGGUUAUUGAAGGAUUGUUUAGUACAGAGUCACUGCAAAAUUCAGGGGGCCACUAGGAGAAACGGAUAUAGGC
rnacentral:lncRNA from 1 species